GGCCUGCCCCUUACCCGCCUGGGCCACAGACUUUUUGGCUCUCCCAUCUCACGGACAAGCAGACGUUAGAGAGGGCAACCCUGUGAGGUGGGCGUUACCACUGAUGAACCAGGGCGACCUGAGAAGUGUCCGAGCUGGGAUUAAAACCCCACUUGGGGCUGCCUUCUAAGUGCACUGAUGAGUGCGUGAUCUCAGAGUUGCUUCAAAAAAAAAAAAAAAGACCUUCCUGGAGACCGUCCUUUUUGCAU